GGUCAGAUAAGGUGUUUACGCCGCAUCCGACUGCUGUUGCCUGAUGCGACGCUUGCCGCGUCUUAUCAGGCC
rnacentral:ncRNA from 1 species